AUGAACGCCCAGAAGACCUCGCCGCUCCCUCCCCGCCUCUGGCCAUGGCGCCCGCGCCGGCGACCGGACCUGACCUGCACCAUCUCUACCUUCCCCUCGCCCGUUGCCUCCUCCUCGUCGCUUGGACGCCGCCCCGCUGUGUCUUGUUGGACUGCGCCGCCCUGCGCGCGUGACCACACCGGCCUGCUACCGCUGCCGCCGAGCUCCACAGGACCCCACGCGGCCGCCCUUUUGCUUGCCCGCCUUGCCACACGUGACCCGCAUGGCCGCCGGCCAUGGAGGCCACCGUGCUGGCCUGCAGCUUCACGCGCGCUGCCGUGCCUUGCAGUUGCAGCUUCGUCCGACAGUGGACGACUUCUGUCGAGCUCGCCCUGUCACUUUCGACCUCGGCGUGGCCCUGCCUCCACUAGCAGCCUCCUGCUACCGGCCAUUUCCAUGGGUUCAGUGAGCCCCAAGUCAUGUCCGUGGCCUCGUGUCUGUUGA
rnacentral:rRNA from 1 species